GCACCGGUGGUGUAUGGUACACACAGUCACUUUGUAUGUUAUGUUCGUUUAGUGAAUAGUGAUUGAGUCCGGGGUUCGAUUCCCUGCUGGUGCA